UACAGAGGUCUCAAGCGUUGUUCGGAUUCAUUGGGCGUAAAGGGUGCGUAGGUGGCGCUGUAAGUCGGGUGUGAAAUUUCGGAGCUUAACUCCGAAACUGCAUUCGAUACUGCGGUGCUUGGGGACUGGAGAGGAGACUGGAAUUCAUGGUGUAGCAGUGAAAUGCGUAGAGAUCAUGAGGAAGACCAGUGGCGAAGGCGGGUCUCUGGACAGUUCCUGACGCUGAGGCACGAAGGUCAGGGGAGCAAACGGG
rnacentral:rRNA from 1 species